AGAUCCCCAACAGCUCAGA
rnacentral:snRNA from 1 species